AACGCACGAGACCUGCGGACCUGCGGAAGGAUCAUUCGUGAAGCAGGCGCUCCGUCGCCCUUCUCUACCCUUCAACCAUGUGGUCUUCUGCCAUUGCCUCGGGGGGGUUUGAGGCGGCCUCGGCCGUCGGGGCCCCUUGCUGGGCCCCGCCCCCCCGCGUGCCCUUGAUAAAGUCUUGGAGUGAUAUUUGCGUCUGAUCUGUCCGGUGGACAUAAUGAAAAUAAAACUUUCAACAAUGGA
rnacentral:misc_RNA from 1 species